rnacentral:rRNA from 1 species
AAAGUCUGACGGAGCAACGCCGCGUGAGUGAAGAAGGUUUUCGGAUUGUAAAGCUCUGUCGUUUGGGACGAACGUGGAUUGUGUGAAUAAUGCAAUCUAAUGACGGUACCUGAAUAAGAAGCCCCGGCUAACUACGUGCCAGCAGCCGCGGUAAUACGUAGGGGGCAAGCGUUAUCCGGAAUUACUGGGUGUAAAGGGAGAGUAGGCGGCAUGGUAAGUUAGAUGUGAAAGCCCGAGGCUUAACCUCGGGAUUGCAUUUAAAACUAUCAAGCUAGAGUACAGGAGAGGUAAGUGGAAUUCCUAGUGUAGCGGUGAAAUGCGUAGAUAUUAGGAAGAACACCAGUGGCGAAGGCGACUUACUGGACUGAAACUGACGCUGAGGCUCGAAAGCGUGGGGAUCAAACA